GGCCGGUCGGGGCUUGCGCCCCAGCAGUCCGCACGCCAGGUGGAAGUGCUUGUGAGGUCGGGCUCCGCCCUUGCGCCCCAGCAGGCCUCGCGUCAGGUGGAAGUGCUCGCGAGGUUUCCCAGGGCCACGCGGUAGCCGUGCAGGGGCGGGGUGGGGUUUACGACGGUGGCCGGGGCUGGGGAGCCGUGACAACUUGCUGGGCGCCAGGUAGGCCUGGAGGCCGUGAACUCGUGGUGGUCCGCCCAGGCUGGUAGGCCCAGCUAGGGCAUGGGCACGGGACCGACACGGCGCCGAGCGCAGUACUGGGCCUUCUUGCUCACGUGAGUCCCUGGAGCCUCCUUGGCCUCGCGGUUGGGCAAGCGCUCCGGCUGCUUCGCCUCUGGGCCGGCCGACCGACAAGGUUUCCCUGCUGAUUGAUUCUCUCUUCUCUGUCUGUCACUCCUUCUGAGAAAAUCUGAAGGAAUUGAUGACUAGAUGCUUGAAGACAGAAAUAAAGGAAAAUGAUGUGGCUCAAAUAUUUGCCUCAGGAAUGUGUCUAUCAAAUGAAUUAAUGGAACAAGAAAACAUAGACAAUGUGCUGGAAAACAUCAGCUGAAGAUUCCAGGAAGACUCAAGGGAUAUACAGUUUAGUGGUGAAAAUUAGGCCUAUCUGGAGAAGAUCUGAAGUUUGCCAAAGUCUGAUAUGGCAGAAGUGUUUACUGCUCACCAAAUGGCCAUGUGCUGCAGAAUAUUUUCCAGUCGCCUUGCAGGUAUAUUGGACUUUGUUCUGGCCUACAGGCUGUGACUAAAAAUGACAUGUGUCACAUCUGCAUCAAAGUAUAUGAGACCAGGUGUGUCACCCUCCACCUCUCUUUUCCCCUGCUGCAGUAUGUUGGAGAAACAUAUUGAGAUGACUAAUUCACAAGAUCAAUUCCUGCCUGGAGAACUAGCCAUCUUGCAUCAGAAUUUGCAGGAGUAAGAACUAAACUUUUGCUAAGGCAAUAAGAUGUAGACAUUAACUCACUGUGACAGCAUUGUCUAGUCCAUCAUGAAUAAUAUACCCAGCUCUUCUUUGCAAAAACCGUUG
rnacentral:lncRNA from 1 species